rnacentral:rRNA from 1 species
AGAGUUUGAUCCUGGCUCAGGAUGAACGCUGGCGGCGUGCCUAAUACAUGCAAGUCGAGCGAACGGACGAGAAGCUUGCUUCUCUGAUGUUAGCGGCGGACGGGUGAGUAACACGUGGAUAACCUACCUAUAAGACUGGGAUAUCUUCGGGAAACCGGAGCUAAUACCGGAUAAUAUUUUGAACCGCAUGGUUCAAAAGUGAAAGACGGUCUUGCUGUCACUUAUAGAUGGAUCCGCGCUGCAUUAGCUAGCUGGUAAGGUAACGGCUUACCAAGGCAACGAUGCAUAGCCGACCUGAGAGGGUGAUCGGCCACACUGGAACUGAGACACGGUCCAGACUCCUACGGGAGGCAGCAGUAGGGAAUCUUCCGCAAUGGGCGAAAGCCUGACGGAGCAACGCCGCGUGAGUGAUGAAGGUCUUCGGAUCGUACAACUCUGUUAUUAGGGAAGAACAUAUGUGUAAGUAACUGUGCACAUCUUGACGGUACCUAAUCAGAAAGCCACGGCUAACUACGUGCCAGCAGCCGCGGUAAUACGUAGGUGGCAAGCGUUAUCCGGAAUUAUUGGGCGUAAAGCGCGCGUAGGCGGUUUUUUAAGUCUGAUGUGAAAGCCCACGGCUCAACCGUGGAGGGUCAUUGGAAACUGGAAAACUUGAGUGCAGAAGAGGAAAGUGGAAUACCAUGUGUAGCGGUGAAAUGCGCAGAGAUAUGGAGGAACACCAGUGGCGAAGGCGACUUUCUGGUCUGUAACUGACGCUGAUGUGCGAAAGCGUGGGGAUCAAACAGGAUUAGAUACCCUGGUAGUCCACGCCGUAAACGAUGAGUGCUAAGUGUUAGGGGGUUUCCGCCCCUUAGUGCUGCAGCUAACGCAUUAUGCACUCCGCCUGGGGAGUACGACCGCAAGGUUGAAACUCAAAGGAAUUGACGGGGACCCGCACAAGCGGUGGAGCAUGUGGUUUAAUUCGAAGCAACGCGAAGAACCUUACCAAAUCUUGACGUCCUUUGACAACUCUAGAGAUAGAGCCUUCCCCUUCGGGGGACAAAGUGACAGGUGGUGCAUGGUUGUCGUCAGCUCGUGUCGUGAGAUGUUGGGUUAAGUCCCGCAACGAGCGCAACCCUUAAGCUUAGUUGCAAUCAUUAAGUUGGGCACUCUAAGUUGACUGCCGGUGACAAACCGGAGGAAGGUGGGGAUGACGUCAAAUCAUCAUGCCCCUUAUGAUUUGGGCUACACACGUGCUACAAUGGACAAUACAAAGGGCAGCGAAACCUCGAGGUCAAGCAAAUCCCAUAAAGUUGUUCUCAGUUCGGAUUGUAGUCUGCAACUCGACUACAUGAAGCUGGAAUCGCUAGUAAUCGUAGAUCAGCAUGCUACGGUGAAUACGUUCCCGGGUCUUGUACACACCGCCCGUCACACCACGAGAGUUUGUAACACCCGAAGCCGGUGGAGUAAGCUUUUAGGAGCUAGCCGUCGAAGGUGGGACAAAUGAUUGGGGUGAAGUCGUAACAAGGUAGCCGUAUCGGAAGGUGCGGCUG